rnacentral:rRNA from 1 species
UACGGGGGGAGCAAGCGUUGUUCGGAUUUACUGGGCGUAAAGGGCGCGUAGGCGGCCUCUGCAAGUCGACUGUGAAAUCUCCGGGCUUAACCCGGAAAGGUCAGCCGAUACUGCAGGGCUAGAGUGCAGAAGGGGCAACUGGAAUUCUCGGUGUAGCGGUGAAAUGCGUAGAUAUCGAGAGGAACACCUGCGGCGAAGGCGGCUUUCUGGACAGAUACCGACGCUGAGGCACGAAAGCUAGGGGAGCAAACAGG